AUUGAACGCUGGAGGCAGGCCUAACACAUGCAAGUCGAACGAGUGGCGGACGGGUGAGUAAUGUCUGGGAAACUGCCCGAUGGAGGGGGAUAACUACUGGAAACGGUAGCUAAUACCGCCUACCAUCGGAUGUGCCCAGAUGGGAUUAGCUAGUAGGUCGGGUAACGGCUCAGCUAGGCGACGAUCCCUAGCUGGUCUGAGAGGAUGACCAGCCACACUGGAACUGAGGGACGGUCCAUACUCCUACGGGAGGCAGCAGUGGGGAAUAUUGCACAAUGGGGGCAAGCUUGAUGCAGCCAUGCCGCGUGUAUGAAGAAGGCCUUCGGGUUGUAAAGUACUUUCAGCGAGGAGGCGUUACUCGCAGAAGAAGCACCGGCUAACUCCGUGCCAGCAGCCGCGGUAAUAC
rnacentral:rRNA from 1 species